rnacentral:rRNA from 1 species
GUCUUUUUGUUAUAAAUAUAAAGUCUCGCCUGCCCCCUGAAGUUUAAAUGGCCGCGGUAUAUUGNCCGUGCUAAGGUAGCAUAAUCAUUAGUUUUUUUAUUGAAAGCUGGAAUGAAGGGUUGGAUGAAAAAAAAACUGUCUUUAUUUAAUUUUAAAAGAAUUUUAUUUUUAAGUUAAAAAGCUUAAAUAUUUUUAAAAGACGAGAAGACCCUAUAGAGUUUUAUAAAUUUAAAAAUAUAUUUUUUUAGAAUUUAAUUUAUUUAUAUUUUAAAUUUAUUUAAUUGGGGUGAUUAAAAAAUAAAUUUAACUUUUUUUGUAUUAUUAUAUUGAUUAAUAGUUAUUUGAUCCAAUAUUUUUGAUUAUAAGAUUAAAUUACCUUAGGGAUAACAGCGUAAUUUUAUUGGAGAGUUCAAAUUGAUAAUAAAGAUUG